rnacentral:rRNA from 1 species
CCUACGGGUGGCAGCAGUGGGGAAUAUUGGGCAAUGGGCGAAAGCCUGACCCAGCAACGCCGCGUGAAGGAAGAAGGCUUUCGGGUUGUAAACCUCUUUUCGCAGGGAAGAAAAACGUGACGGUAGCUGAGGAAUCAGCCACGGCCAACUACGUGCCAGCAGCCGCGGUACUACGUAGGUGGCAAGCGUUAUCAGGAUUUACUGGGUGUAAAGGGCGUGUAGGCGGGAAAGCAAGUCAGAUGUGAAAGCCAGGGGCUCAACCUGGGGACUGCAUUUGAAACUGUGUGUCUGGAGUGCUGGAGAGGCAGGCGGAAUGCCUGGUGUAGCGGUGAAAUGCGUAGAUAUUAGGAGGAACACCAGUGGCGAAGGCGGUCUGCUGGACAGCAACUGACGCUGAGGCGCGAAAGCGUGGGGAGCAAACAGGAUUAGAUACCCUUGUAGUC